rnacentral:rRNA from 1 species
ACGACGCUGGCGGCGUGCCUAAUACAUGCAAGUCGAACGGCUUUUCUAUGGAAGCUUGCUUCCACUGAGAAGAUAGUGGCGGACGGGUGAGUAACACGUGGGUAACCUGCCCAUAAGAGGGGGAUAACAUCCGGAAACGGGUGCUAAUACCGCAUAGUUUUCUUGAUCGCAUGAUCGAGAAAGGAAAGACGGCCUUUGUGCUGUCGCUUAUGGAUGGACCCGCGGCGUAUUAGUUAGUUGGUGAGGUAAUGGCUCACCAAGACGAUGAUACGUAGCCGACCUGAGAGGGUGAUCGGCCACAUUGGGACUGAGACACGGCCCAAACUCCUACGGGAGGCAGCAGUAGGGAAUCUUCCGCAAUGGACGAAAGUCUGACGGAGCAACGCCGCGUGAGUGAAGAAAGGUUUUCGGAUCGUAAAACUCUGUUGUCAGAGAAGAACAAGUUGGAGAGUAACUGCUCCAGCCUUGACGGUAUCUGACCAGAAAGCCACGGCUAACUACGUGCCAGCCGCCGC